UACGUAGGGGGCAAGCGUUGUCCGGAGUCAUUGGGCGUAAAGAGCGCGUAGGCGGCCCUGUAAGUCCGCUGUGAAAGUCAAGGGCUCAACCCUUGGAUGCCGGUGGAUACUGCAGGGCUAGAGUCCGGAAGAGGCGAGUGGAAUUCCUGGUGUAGCGGUGAAAUGCGCAGAUAUCAGGAGGAACACCGGUGGCGAAGGCGGGACUCUGGGCCGAUACUGACGCUGAGGAGCGAAAGCGUGGGGAGCGAACAGG
rnacentral:rRNA from 1 species